AAAUUGAAGAGUUUGAUCAUGGCUCAGAUUGAACGCUGGCGGCAGGCCUAACACAUGCAAGUCGAACGGUAACAGAAAGCAGCUUGCUGCUUCGCUGACGAGUGGCGGACGGGUGAGUAAUGUCUGGGAAACUGCCUGAUGGAGGGGGAUAACUACUGGAAACGGUAGCUAAUACCGCAUAACGUCGCAAGACCAAAGAGGGG
rnacentral:rRNA from 1 species